AUACGUAGGUGGCAAGCGUUGUCCGGAAUUAUUGGGCGUAAAGCGCGCGCAGGUGGUUCCUUAAGUCUGAUGUGAAAGUCCCCGGCUCGACCGGGGAGGGUCAUUGGUAACUGGGGAACUUGAGUGCAGAAGAGGAUAGUGGAAUUCCGAGUGUAGCGGUGAAAUGCGUAGAGAUUUGGAGGAACACCAGUGGCGAAGGCGACUGUCUGGUCUGUAACUGACACUGAGGCGCGAAAGCGUGGGGAGCAAACAGGAUUAGAUACCCUGGUAGUCCACGCCGUAAACGAUGAGUGCUAAGUGUUGGGGGGUUUCCGCCCCUCAGUGCUGCAGCUAACGCAUUAAGCACUCCGCCUGGGGAGUACGGUCGCAAGACUGAGACUCAAAGGAAUUGACGGGG
rnacentral:rRNA from 1 species